UACGUAGGGGGCAAGCGUUGUCCGGAAUCAUUGGGCGUAAAGCGCGCGUAGGCGGCCCGGUAAGUCCGCUGUGAAAGUCCAGGGCUCAACCCUGGAAAGCCGGGUGGUACUGCCGGGCUAGAGUCCGGAAGAGGCGAGUGGAAUUCCGUGGUGUAGCGGUGGAAUGCGGCAGAUAUCAGGAGGAACACCAAUAGCGAAGGCAGCUCGCUGGGACGGUACUGACGCUGAGGUGCGAAAGCCGUGGGGAGCAAACAGG
rnacentral:rRNA from 1 species